rnacentral:rRNA from 1 species
GUGACCCAGCGGAAAC